UAGGGGUGUACUGCUAUGCUCUCUUCUACCAGGGAUGCAAAACCUAGAGCCCUAGGUCCUUUAAAUAGUGUCAGACGCGUCCCAAAGUGCGGCCCUGUCCAAAAGAAGUAAAUCAAAGCAGAAUAAGGGCCCGAUCCACAUGAAAUCAUGCUCAAGCGUCGUAGGGAGCUCGCCCAAGCGUGAAUUGAGGCUCAUGUGAGUCUUGGGCGCCAGUUUUGGUCGCCUAGGUUUCGGGCGUCCGUUGCCCGGGAGUCGGGGCCGUUGCCCACGCAACUAGCGAUGAUGUUGCUCCGCGCUGUUUUUUCUUCCUUUCACCUGGGCUUCGGGUUUCCCGCCUUCUUGGUGCCUUUUUGACCCCUUUUGAGCUCCACCC
rnacentral:lncRNA from 1 species